UUUGGGGCAGCUCCCAGCCCAGGGCACGAUCUGGGGCUGUAGAUUUGGGGCUGCACACCCUGAUCCCAGCAGCCCUGCGCAGGGCAGCUCCCAGUACCCAUCACAGCCAAAGCAGCAAUGCGCAGGACGCGUCCCCUUCCCUUCAUCCAUUCACGAUGUCCUCUGACGGCUGCAGGCUCGCCAGCCCCAUGGCUGCUGCCCCAUCUAACCGUGGGGUCACGGCAGCCUGUACACAGGCCACGCACAUUGCAGUGCCUCAUCACCGCAGGAGCCGGGUGCCCCGAAAUGCAGAGCUCGAUGGCACGUGUUGCUUUGCUCAGGAGCAAACCAUCUUCAUUUCUGUCCCUCCCAGGGAACUGCGGGUGGCAGAGGCAGCAGAGCGCAGUGCUCUCCUCCGUCCCCGCUCCCUCCUGCCCGCCUGCUCCAGAUCCAUCCUUUCCUGCUGAUUCGGGACAAUCUGCGUCCUGUGACCUACUUGUCUCCGAGCGCCGGCCCAGUUCUGGAUGCGUCCCCGGGGAUGCUGUGCUGGGAAGUCUGUGCGUUUUGACACAGCGCAGGAGAGGAGCCGCUCACAGCCACACAGCACGCACAUAUCUCACUGCAAACAAAACGUGAUAUAGCGUGGUGUGCAUCCACAUCCCCAAGGCAGCAAAAGGGGUGGGUAACCCCCAGACCCAUUUCAGGAGGAGCAGGUCAGCAUCAGCUGAAUUAAAUGAAUUAAUCCAGGCAGAAAGCCUUCCCAGGGCACGUGGGGGAAAAUAAAAAAAAAAAAAAAAUGCAUGGAAA